rnacentral:misc_RNA from 1 species
ACACCUCAACUCUUCAUGGUUUUCCGUGAUGAGCUUGGACUUUGGGGGUCUUGCUGGCCUACGGUCGGCUCCUCUAAAAUGAAUCAGCUUGCCAGUGUUUGGUGGCACACAGGUGUGAUAACUAUCUACGCUUGUGGUUUUCCACCGGUAACCUUCAGCAGUGGAGGUUCGCUGGAGCUCAUAAAUGUCUCUCCUCAGUGUGAGACAGCAUUUUGAAC